rnacentral:lncRNA from 1 species
AUGCAAUCGCUGCGUCUGCCUCACACUUCCCGCCCGCCGCUGCUCCCCGCACCCCGCCGGCCUCGGCCAGGGCUCCCGCGGGGCCCCGAGUGCCGCACGGCCGCGCACGUGUCCUCGCGCACGGGCGCUCGUGUCCCACGCGGACGCAGCGCUGGCGCGCACCCGGGCUUGCGUGGAGCCACCCGCGUGUCCCCUGUGUCAGUAGCGGCGAUGCUCGGCGGCCUCGUCGCACGAGCAGGGCCAGCCCACGCGGCUGCACGCGUGGCGUGGCGUGGGCAGCUCCCUGUGGGCGCUCGUCGCCGUGGCUCGUGCGUGAGGGGCUCAGAGUCCCCGCCGUGGGGAUGCUCCCAUCAUGUCCCGGAGAAGCAGGUCCCCGCCGAGUGCAGCCCAGGGUCUCCUUUCUCUGCCCUUGCUCCUUCUUGCUUCCGUUCCUGCUCGACCCAAGUCAAAUCCAGAGCCCAGCUAUGGAAACCGCCCCUGCUGCGCGCAGGACAGGCUGGCACGCGGCUCCUGGGACACAAAACACCCUUGGGUUCUGCAUGUGCCCCAUGCCCCGCAGCAAGGGCUCUGCCCGGUCUGGGACCUGCCCUCGGGUCGUGGUGCCGUGGGGCUGCGGAGACAUCCCACUGCCCCGCGUGCUGCUCGGGGCUUUGCAGGGACAGCUCAGGGCUGGCCCAGGGUGGUGCUUGCUGCCUUUGCAGGCAGAGCUCUGCAGUGCCAAGGACCUGCCCUGGCCGCGGUGCCCAGGCAGGACUAUCCCCUCGCUUCCUCGCCCUGAAAUCCCCAGGCUGCACUUUUAAUCGCUGUAGUAAACUGCAGUUAAUUGGUAGCGCAUCCAAACCCCUGCCACUCCUUGCCCCCAAGUCUUCAGGGCCCCUGCGGAGCAGGAGGACGCGCAAGGCUGCAGUCGCUGCCCCUGGGCAGUGGCCAAGAGAGGGGCAGCGUUGGGCAAACGGUGGGGGCUGGGGGCGGCUGGAGGAGCCGUGGCCACACGGGGGGAGCCGGUGUCAGACCGCUCGAGCGACGCCAAGGGGGAGGACUUGGCCGGGGCGAUGCCAGCAGAGCCUCGCCCGGCACACGGAGGCUCGGCCCAGCCGCUUUGGCAAUGCUCGCGGGGCGCCGUGUGCCAAUAAUGUGAUUGAAACUGAAUUGAGAAGGAAGGAGGGAAAGAGGAGGAAAGGGAAAGAAAGCACGGAUUGUCUGCUCCUGCCGCCCAGGCCCCGAGGCCUCCGGGCGCCUCCCUUGACGAAACAGAAAUCAAACAAAAUUACAGAAAUAGGGCAAGAGCAUUUGCCUAAUAAACUCCCCAAGCAGGAGCAGGAGGAGGAGCGCGGUGCUGCCAGAUCUCCAACCUGCAAUCUGCGAGCCAGCGCCCUGAGCCCACAUGAAUCCAGAGCACGGCCCCGGGCCCCGGGGUCAGCUCCAGCGAGGGAGGGAGAAACUGCCAAGAAAAUGGGCUCAGCAUAA